AAUUGUGAGUAAACCUAAGGUUUUUUAGAGAUGGAGAACUUCUCUGCAAUGAUUUAUAUAUCAUUAAUUAGCAUUUAAUAGAUUAGGAGACCAAGAAUAGUAGGUAAAAUUGGUGUGUGGUCUUGUUUUAUGUCACUUAUGUCAAGUUCUCAUCCUGCUGCUGCUGCUAAGUUGCUUCGACUGUGCGACCCCUUAGACGGCAGCCCACCAGGCUCCCCCGCCCCUGGGAUUCUCCAGGCAAGAACACUGGAGGGGGUUGCCAUUUCCUUCUCCAAAGCAUGAAAGUGAAAAGUGAAAGUGAAGUCGCUCAGCCUGUCCGACUCCUAUCAGGGUUAAAUUAUGUUCACAAAAUACAGAUUUCUUCUGUUCGUCUAUUCUUGAUUCUCUAAAAUUAUGUGGUACUUUUGUAGUCAGUCGUUCUUUGCUUGCAUCGCCUUCACAUGAUUUUCAGAAGUAAUUCUUGUAAAAAUUUAUUGUAUAGCCUUCCUUGCUUAUUUUUCUUUUGUUAUAGCUGCUUUAAAUAUUGGUCUUGAGAAUUCAUAUUUUUCCAGAAAGUAGUCAAUUUCUUGAAUAUUCUAGAAUAUUAGCAGUGUAUAUAAAGGGGGUUAUAUUCAUUUUGUGGGUGGGUAUGAGAUAAUAUGAAAUAUACAUCAGACUUGUUAUCUGACACAGGACCCCUAAAUGUCUUGAAGUUUCCUGGGCAAUAGAAAUGUCUUUUGGUUGUUUUCCUGUAUUUUUUCUGAAAGUGUUGAUUUUGCUUUUUCCUGGUAGGAAAUGAUUACCUUCAUAACAGACACCUUUGAGGAUUAUUGCUAAGGUUUGUUAGUACAAUUCUAUGUGCCCUUUAUUUUAAGGCUUGUGAUUAGUUUCAUCUCUCUCUCUCUCUCUCUUUUAGUUUCAGCUCUAAUACAUGCAUUUUCUGUCUCAGUUGAAUGCACCACAUAUUCAGGGAGGUUUCUUCACUCUGGCUGGUAGCUCCAAUGAAAACUUCAAGUACAGGGGCUUCCCUGGUGGUCCAGUGGUUAAGAAUCUACCUUGCAGUUCAGGGGACACCGGUUCGAUCUCUGGUCCCCAGAAGAUCCCACAUGCCACAGAGAAAUUAAGUCUGUACAUAGCUAAUACUGAGCC
rnacentral:lncRNA from 1 species